rnacentral:rRNA from 1 species
CCUACGGGGGGCAGCAGUAGGGAAUCUUCCACAAUGGGCGAAAGUCUGACGGAGCAACGCCGCGUGAGUGAAGAAGGGUUUCGGCUCGUAAAGCUCUGGUGGUAGUGAAGAAAGAUAGAGGUAGUAACUGGCCUUUAUUUGACGGUAAUUACUUAGAAAGUCACGGCUAACUACGUGCCAGCAGCCGCGGUAAUACGUAGGUGGCAAGCGUUGUCCGGAUUUAUUGGGCGUAAAGCGAGUGCCGGCGGGUUCAUA